UGUUCUAGAGCAUUAAAAGACUUGUGUUUCUCAUUCUUGUUGUUUCAGGUGGUGAAGUGGAGUGGAGCAUUCACGGGUAUUGGAGUGGAGCAUUCACGAGUGACAGAGAGUUGUUGUUUCAUUGUCUUGUGUAAUUGAGUCAUUGAGUUGUAAUUGUGUCAUUGAAUUGUAUUUGUGUCACGGGUGUACAAGAGUGACAGAGAGAGUUGGAGUCUUGUGGUGUUUGUAG
rnacentral:lncRNA from 1 species